rnacentral:rRNA from 1 species
CCAAUUGGGAUGCCGUUAGUAAAGGCGAUCGAACACGGCAAAGGGCAAACUGAAUCCACUUGUGAAAGCAGGUGGAGAUGUGGGGCGAUAUGUCGUAUACAACCCACCUUGGAGAAGCCGAAAUUCCCUGGAAAGGGAUGCCAUAGAGGGUGAUAGCCCUGUAGGCGUUGACCAAGGGGUUGUGGCAUGUCAAGAGUAGCGCGCGCUGGAUACCGCGCGUGAAGAUGGGAGGCAUCGACUUCCAACCCUAAAUACGUUUUGAGACCGAUAGCAGAGUAGUACCGUGAGGGAAAGCUGAAAAGUACCCCUGACAGGGGGUGAAAAGAGCCUGAAACUAGGCGGUUACAGCCCGUUGCAGCGUGAAAGGGUAGAGUCUCCUCGAAGGAACGCGUCGUGAGGCGUUAGUACGAGGGGAGAGGACCAGCGUUGCAACAUCCGUUUUGAAAAACGGGGCGGGGAGUUUACGGUUGUGGCGAGGUUAAGGGUUAAAAGCCCGGAACCAAAGCGAAAGCGACAAGCCCGCAACUCCGCAAGGAGGCAGGGGCGAGGUAUGAAAGUGCCUGAAGUCACAGCCGUCAGAUCCGAAACCAGUCGAUCUAGCCCUGGGCAGGGUGAAGUCUCUCGAAAGGGAGGUGGAGGCCCGAUUCCGGUGUUGAUAUGCAAAUCACUCGGGUGACCUUGGGCUAGGGGUGAAAGGCCAAUCAAGACUGGUGUCAGCUGAUUCCUCCCGAAAUGUCUCGCAGGACAGCCUGGCUGGAGGUAGAUGGCGAUGUAGAGCACCGAUUGGGUAUUUAGGCUCCGAGAGGGGCCGGUAUCCUGUCGAACUCCGAAGUUGCCAUCGCCGUAGAAGGCUGGAGUAAGGGCGUGGGGGUAAGCUCCACGUCCGAAAGGGGAAUAACCCAGACUGAGGUUAAGGUCCGUAAAUGCCAGCUAAGUAUUAAAUAAGAAAGGCGUUCUCGGCCCCAGACAGUGGGAAGGUAGGCUUAGAAGCAGCCACCCUUUAAAGAGUUCGUAACAGAUCACCCACCGAGGUCGAGGGCCCUGAAAAUCGACAGGGUUAAGCUGGCUACCGAUACCCCAGAUAUCCUAACGGAUAUAUAGUAGAGAGGCGUCCUGUUCGGGCAGAAGCUGGGGCGUGAGUUCCAGUGGACCGUUCAGGAUUGAGAAUCCCGCUAGUAGUAGCAGCAAAGACGGGUGAGAAUCCCGUCCGCCGAAGGGGCAAGGCUUCCUCAGCAAUGUUCGUCAGCUGAGGGUUAGUCGGUCCUAAGUCUGUCCGUAAUUCGAGACAGGCGAAAGGGAAACGGGUUAAUAUUCCCGUACCGCGAUGGUACGCGCGGCAACGCAAGUUCGCAACCGACACCUCGGGAUAGGUGAAGUAGGACCCUCGUCCUAUCCAAGCGCAUAAGCCUGGGGAGUCUCAUAAUGAGGAGAACCAGGCGAAACCGCGAUGGGGCCUCCGUAUGGAGGCUUUCGUCGAGUCCUGGGGUCCGUGAAAAGGAAGCGAAAAGGAUCCAUCGUGUCCGUACUUAGAACUGACACAGGUGCCCCUAGCUGAGCAAGCUAAGGCGUGUCGGAGCAAUUCAGUCAAGGGAAUUCGGCAAAUUAGCCCCGUAUCUUCGGUAGAAGGGGUGCCUGCUCCGCGUAGGAGCAGGUCGCAGUGACAAGGGGGCUUCGACUGUUUAAUAAAAACAUAGGUAACUGCUAGCCCGUAAGGGUGCGUACAGUUGCUAACUCCUGCCCAGUGCCGGUAAGUCAAAACCCGGUUCAACGGGUCUAAGCUCCGGUAAACGGCGGGGGUAACUAUAACCCUCUUAAGGUAGCGUAAUACCUUGUCGCUUAAUUGGCGACUUGCAUGAAUGGAUGAACGAGAGCCCCACUGUCCCUGACUGAAAUCCGGUGAACCUGUUAUGCUGGUGCACAGACCAGCGACUCCCAACGGGUAAAGAAGACCCCGUGGACCUUUACUGCAGCUUGUCGUUGUGGUAUGGUUGCGGAUGUAGAGCGUAGGUAGGAGCUUUCGAAGCCCGGGCGCCAGCUCGGGUGGAGGCAUCAAUGGAACACUACCCACUCGUGACUGUACCACUAACCUCUUCGGAGGGACAUCGGUAGGUGGGCAGUUUCGCUGGGGCGGCAGCCCCCUGAAAAAAUAUCAGGGGGGCUCUAUGGUCGGCUCAACCGGGUCAGAAAUCCGGUGUAGAGUGUAAGGGCAAAAGCCGGCCUGACUGUAAACCGCACAGAGAGGUUUACAGGUGCGAAAGCAGGACCUAACGAACCUCCGUGUGCUCCUCGAUGGGGCCCGGAGAUGACAGAAAAGGUACCUCGGGGAUAACUGAGUUGUCGCGAGCAAGAGCUCAUAUCGACCUCGCGGCUUGCUACUUCGAUGUCGGCUCUUUCCAUCCUGGGUGUGCAGCAGCACCCAAGGGUGGGGUUGUUCGCCCAUUAAAGGGGAUCGUGAGCUGGGUUUAGACCGUCGUGAGACAGGUUUGUUUUUAACUGUUGGGAGUGUUGGUUGCCUGAGGGGAAGGUCCAUCUAGUACGAGAGGAACGGUGGAUCGCGGCCUCUGGUCUAUCGGUUGUCCGAGGGGGCAUGCCGAGCAGCUACGCCGUAUGCGGAUAAGCGCUGAAAGCAUCUAAGCACGAAACCGCCCUCGAAAAUAGGCGACCACUUCUCUCCACCAUGAAAGGGAAAAACACGGGAUAGGCGACUAUAACGUGGGAGAGAACAAAGACACCCGUAGAAGACGGGGUUAAUAGAGUCGGGGUGUAAGUACGAAGCUUCGGCGACGUAUUCAGCCCGCGGCCACUAACAGUCUAAGGUGUCCUUUU